rnacentral:rRNA from 1 species
CCUACGGGGGGCUGCAGUGGGGAAUAUUGGACAAUGGGGGCAACCCUGAUCCAGCCAUGCCGCGUGUGUGCAGAAGGCCCUCGGGUUGUAAAGCACUUUCAGUGAGGAAGAACGCCUGGUGGUUAAUACCCAUCAGGAAAGACAUCACUCACAGAAGAAGCACCGGCUAACUCCGUGCCAGCAGCCGCGGUAAUACGGAGGGUGCGAGCGUUAAUCGGAAUUACUGGGCGUAAAGCGCGCGUAGGUGGCUUGAUAAGCCGGUUGUGAAAGCCCCGGGCUCAACCUGGGAACGGCAUCCGGAACUGUCAAGCUAGAGUGCAGGAGAGGAAGGUAGAAUUCCCGGUGGAGCGGUGAAAUGCGUAGAGAUCGGGAGGAAUACCAGUGGCGAAGGCGGCCUUCUGGACUGACACUGACACUGAGGUGCGAAAGUGUGGGUAGCAAACAGGAUUAGAUACCCUGGUAGUC